CCCUCACCAUGACGGAGCGGUGCAGUCUGUGGAGCGCCCUGUCGGCUGCAGCAUGCUGCUUCUACCGGGGGUCCUUCAUGCAGGUGCAGUUUUCCAAAGAGAAA